AUAGUCGUGGCCGAGUGGUUAAGGCAAUGGAUUUGAAAUCCAUUGGGGUUUCCCCGCGUAGGUUCGAAUCCUACCGGCUAAU
rnacentral:tRNA from 1 species